AGCUUACCUUGUGGUCUGCGACAUUGAUGGAGCUCUGAAUUGUUCCCAAAGGUAUCUUUGCUGAUUCUCUAGAAUAUUCCAAGUAAACCACCAUAUCAUCAUCAAACAGGGGACAUGAUUUUGAAAGCCAAAAGCCAAAACAGGUUUGGGAUGGAAAUGAAGACCAGCCUGGGCCCAUUCUCAAAAUGGAGAUUCCAGGAGGAACUCAUCAAUAUGAAAAGAGGACAGGCCACAAAGAGAUAUUCCAGGUUGAGAAGGCCACAGGAAUGGUUCAGUGUCCUGGAGAGAGAUCUCAGGCACUGAGGUCCUGUGUCUUCCUGCUACCACCACCUACACCACCCUCAGCCCAAGUCUUAUUGUUGUUUACCACUACUACCCUAGAGGGCUGCUCUAAGAUGAUGCACCUGUGGUAAGAAAUCUUUUAAAACAAAAGGAAGUGAAGCAUUGUUAAUGCUAAAACACCAA